rnacentral:snRNA from 1 species
GUCCCCUUCGGGGUGACAUACGAAAAAAUUGGAACGAUACAGAGAAGAUUAGCAUGGCCCCUGCACAAGGAUGACACGCUUU